ACGUAGGGGGCGAGCGUUAUCCGGAAUUACUGGGUGUAAAGGGUGCGUAGGCGGUACGGCAAGUUUGAUGUGAAACCCGCGGGCUUAACCCGAGGCAUGCAUCGAAAACUACUGAACUAGAGUGCAGGAGAGGAAAGCGGAAUUCCUAGUGUAGCGGUGAAAUGCGUAGAUAUUAGGAAGAACACCAGUGGCGAAGGCGGCUUUCUGGACUGCAACUGACGCUGAGGCACGAAAGCGUGGGGAGCAAACAG
rnacentral:rRNA from 1 species